UGGGAAGAAGCGGGCGGCGUGGCUAAUACAUGCAAGUCGAGCGAACAGAAGGGAGCUUGCUCCCGGAUGUUAGCGGCGGACGGGUGAGUAACACGUGGGUAACCUGCCUGUAAGACUGGGAUAACUCCGGGAAACCGGAGCUAAUACCGGAUAGUUCCUUGAACCGCAUGGUUCAAGGAUGAAAGACGGUUUCGGCUGUCACUUACAGAUGGACCCGCGGCGCAUUAGCUAGUUGGUGGGGUAAUGGCUCACCAAGGCGACGAUGCGUAGCCGACCUGAGAGGGUGAUCGGCCACACUGGGACUGAGACACGGCCCAGACUCCUACGGGAGGCAGCAGUAGGGAAUCUUCCGCAAUGGACGAAAGUCUGACGGAGCAACGCCGCGUGAGUGAUGAAGGUUUUCGGAUCGUAAAGCUCUGUUGUUAGGGAAGAACAAGUGCGAGAGUAACUGCUCGCACCUUGACGGUACCUAACCAGAAAGCCACGGCUAACUACGUGCCAGCAGCCGCGGUAAUACGUAGGUGGCAAGCGUUGUCCGGAAUUAUUGGGCGUAAAGGGCUCGCAGGCGGUUUCUUAAGUCUGAUGUGAAAGCCCCCGGCUCAACCGGGGAGGGUCAUUGGAAACUGGGAAACUUGAGUGCAGAAGAGGAGAGUGGAAUUCCACGUGUAGCGGUGAAAUGCGUAGAGAUGUGGAGGAACACCAGUGGCGAAGGCGACUCUCUGGUCUGUAACUGACGCUGAGGAGCGAAAGCGUGGGGAGCGAACAGGAUUAGAUACCCUGGUAGUCCACGCCGUAAACGAUGAGUGCUAAGUGUUAGGGGUUUCCGCCCCUUAGUGCUGCAGCUAACGCAUUAAGCACUCCGCCUGGGGAGUACGGUCGCAAGACUGAAACUCAAGGAAUUGACGGGGGCCCGCACAAGCGGUGGAGCAUGUGGUUUAAUUCGAAGCAACGCGAAGAACCUUAA
rnacentral:rRNA from 2 species